UCUGCACAAUAUAUGGCUGCAGUUUAAUCACCAGGGUAAAUUGCUGAAGCAUCUUUGUGGAAACUAUAAUGUUACUGUAGCAGUAUCUAACGCAGCACUGAUUCAGCUGUGAUGGCUAAUGCAGACAAUACAAUCCAUAAUCCUGUUAGCACUACUGCAUCUACUAAGUAGGACAAACCUCAAAAACUUCAACUGUGAUGGGCCAAAUCCAGACCUAGCGCAGGUUGACCACACGUUAUUCCUGAGAGCAGAAUCUAUAUGAAAGAUUAUCGGGGUUGAGGGACGAUCAACUAAUAUUUCCUGGUGUUGAGAGAGAAAGAAAAGUCUUAUGGGACACUUCCACAGUUCCACCCAUGGAGUCCUGCUCCUACCCUCUUCAGUGAAAGCAUCUCCUAGAGCCCAGGAAACGGAAAGUGGGACCCGCUAGACUGACACCUUUCAAUACUGCUUUCCAGUGAAGAGCCCUGAAAGCCAGGGACUGAGAUGGGCAGAAUGUGAGGGAGCCCACCUCUUUGGCCUAGGCUACUCCACGCAAUCUUGGAACAAGGAACUGCUGUCCAUGGUCCUGUGUAAAUGUAGGUGAAGAAGCAAUCAGUGCACUGGACCAUCACUGUUGGGAUGUGGAUUAAAUUCCUCCCUGGAAGACAUACUUGAAAUGAGUUCUUCUGGGCAUCAGCCUUUUCUUGGUGCAUUAGAUCCCUGCUUGGAGCCCUAGUGUGAAAUAUGUAUGGCUCAAGAUAUGAUUAUGGAGAUCUUCAAAGCCCCACGGUCCAGAGCCAAUGUCCGUUUAAGUUAAUGGGGAGACUCUCAUUGACUUUUGAUCAGGCUGCAAAUGUAGGAGAGAGACAAUUUCGCCUCCAGCAAUCAAGAGAGUCACACUUCAAGAUUCACCCUGAUUUCCUUAUGAAAGGUAAAAGAUCGUCCUUUUAGAGACACAGUGUGAAAACAAGGGGAAAAGUGCGUCUGAGGCCAGAUUGACACUAGGACCACUUUAUCAGGCUUACCCUCAUGUGCAGCUUUGCUGAAAAGAUGUUUCUACGCUUUGUUGCAGCUCGUGUGGCAGGCUAGUUUCACUAUCAUC